UUAAGAUUGCUCAACUGCUUUGAGCUCAGGUACUUCGCGUUCAUGGUACAUAUAUGUUGUAAUUUCCAAGCUUGUCUCAGGAAGAUAAAGAUUCUAAGAAAAGUUUCUUCUUCCAUGACCGGUGACCUAGAACCAGGAUAGGACCUGAGAAAGCAAGGUGUAAAGGUGAGGGAAAAAGCACUUUCAUCUCAGAAUUGCAGCUACUGGUAUGGAAAAGCUGGGGCCCUUCGCUGGUGUGAGUCCUAAGGAUGUCUAAAUGCAACGCGCAUCUGCCAUAGGCUCGCACUUUCCUUUAUUGCGCUUCCCAGACUUCUGCUGUUGUAAGCAACCACUACAGAUUUCUCAGAAGUACUGUGGCAAAUAAAAAUGAUUGAGAAUCAUUAUACAUUUUCUAUUCUACUAGAGAGACAGUUUAAAAUAAAAUAGAAUGCUAAGACCACCAUGCAAUGGAAAAGCUCCAUCUACCGUAAGAAGAUGAGAAGCCAUGUGGAGAACUAAGACUUCCCAGCCAAUAGCCAGUACCAACUGCCAGACACGUG